UACAUGGGGUGCAAACGUUGCUCGGAAUCAUUGGGCGUAAAGCGCGCGUAGGCGGUUACACAAGUUGGAUGUGAAAGCCCUCGGCUUAACUGAGGAAGUGCAUCCAAAACUGUGCAGCUAGAGUACUAAAGAGGGUCGCGGAAUUCCCGGUGUAGAGGUGAAAUUCGUAGAUAUCGGGAGGAACACCGGUGGCGAAGGCGGCGACCUGGGUAGAUACUGACGCUGAGGCGCGAAAGCGUGGGUAGCAAACAGG
rnacentral:rRNA from 1 species